AACGAACGCUGGCGGCAGGCUUAACACAUGCAAGUCGAACGCAUCCUUCGGGGUGAGUGGCAGACGGGUGAGUAACGCGUGGGAACGUGCCCUUCAGUUCGGGAUAACCCAGGGAAACUUGGGCUAAUACCGGAUACGUGCGAGAGCAGAAAGAUUUAUCGCUGAAGGAUCGGCCCGCGUAUGAUUAGCUAGUUGGUGGGGUAAUGGCCCACCAAGGCGACGAUCAGUAGCUGGUCUGAGAGGAUGAUCAGCCACAUUGGGACUGAGACACGGCCCAAACUCCUACGGGAGGCAGCAGUGGGGAGUAUUGGACAAUGGGCGCAAGCCUGAUCCAGCCAUGCCGCGUGAGUGAUGAAGGCCUUAGGGUUGUAAAGCUCUUUCGUCCGGGACGAUAAUGACGGUACCGGAAGAAGAAGCCCCGGCUAACUUCGUGCCAGCCGCCGCAGUAA
rnacentral:rRNA from 1 species